rnacentral:rRNA from 1 species
UACGUAGGGGGCAAGCGUUGUCCGGAAUUAUUGGGCGUAAAGGGCGCGUAGGCGGCCUUGUCAGUCAGGCGUGAAAGCCCCGGGCUCAACCUGGGAACGGCGCUUGGGACGGCGAGGCUGGAGUUCGGGAGAGGAGAGUGGAAUUCCCAGUGUAGAGGUGAAAUUCGUAGAUAUUGGGAAGAACACCGGUGGCGAAGGCGGCUCUCUGGACCGACACUGACGCUGAGGCGCGAAAGCGUGGGGAGCAAACAGG